rnacentral:rRNA from 1 species
AGUGAACGCUGGCGGUAGGCCUAACACAUGCAAGUCGAACGGCAGCACAGUAAGAGCUUGCUCUUACGGGUGGCGAGUGGCGGACGGGUGCGGAAUACAUCGGAAUCUACUUUUUCGUGGGUGCUGACGUAGGGACACAUACCCUAAUACCCCAUACGAACUACGGGUGAAAGCAUGGGAUCUUCGGACCUCACACGAGUGAACGACGCGUUGUCGGAUUAGCUAGUUGGCGGGGUAAAGGCCCACCAAGGCGACGAUCCGUAGCUGGUCUGAGAGGAUGAUCAGCCACACUGGAACUGAGACACGGUCCAGACUCCUACGGGAGGCAGCAGUGGGGAAUAUUGGACAAUGGGCGCAAGCCUGAUCCAGCCAUACCGCGUGUGUGAAGAAGGCCUUCGGGUUGUAAAGCCCUUUUGUUGGGAAAGAAAAGCAGUAGGUUAAUACCCCGCUGUUCUGACGGUACCCAAAGAAUAAGCACCGGCUAACUUCGUG